AUUGAACGCUGGCGGCAUGCUUUACACAUGCAAGUCGAACGGCAGCGCGGGCUUCGGCCUGGCGGCGAGUGGCGAACGGGUGAGUAAUACAUCGGAACGUGCCCAGUAGUGGGGGAUAGCUCGGCGAAAGCCGGAUUAAUACCGCAUACGACCUGAGGGUGAAAGCGGGGGAUCUUCGGACCUCGCGCUAUUGGAGCGGCCGAUGGCAGAUUAGCUAGUUGGUGGGGUAAAGGCCUACCAAGGCGACGAUCUGUAGCUGGUCUGAGAGGACGACCAGCCACACUGGGACUGAGGCACGGCCCAGACUCCUACGGGAGGCAGCAGUGGGGAAUUUUGGACAAAGGGCGAAAGCCUGAUCCAGCAAUGCCGCGUGUGUGAUGAAGGCCUUCGGGUUGUAAAGCACUUUUGGCGGGAACGAAAAGGACUGUGCCAAUACCACGGUUCGAUGACGGUACCCGCAGAAUAAGCACCGGCUAACUACGUG
rnacentral:rRNA from 1 species